rnacentral:rRNA from 1 species
AACGAACGCUGGCGGCAUGCCUAACACAUGCAAGUCGAACGAUCCCUUCGGGGAUAGUGGCGCACGGGUGCGUAACGCGUGGGAACCUGCCCUUAGGUUCGGAAUAACUCAGAGAAAUUUGAGCUAAUACCGGAUAAUGUCUUCGGUCCAAAGAUUUAUCGCCUUUGGAUGGGCCCGCGUUGGAUUAGCUAGUUGGUGGGGUAAAGGCCUACCAAGGCGACGAUCCAUAGCUGGUCUGAGAGGAUGAUCAGCCACACUGGGACUGAGACACGGCCCAGACUCCUACGGGAGGCAGCAGUGGGGAAUAUUGGACAAUGGGCGAAAGCCUGAUCCAGCAAUGCCGCGUGAGUGAUGAAGGCCUUAGGGUUGUAAAGCUCUUUUACCCGGGAUGAUAAUGACAGUACCGGGAGAAUAAGCCCCGGCUAACUCCGUG